rnacentral:rRNA from 1 species
UACGUAGGGUGCAAGCGUUGCCCGGAUUUAUUGGGCGUAAAGGGCGCGCAGGCGGCUACGCACGUCCGUUGUGAAAUCGCUCGGCUCAACUGGGCGGGGUCAGCGGAUACGGCGUAGCUGGAGCAAGCUAGGGGGCAAUGGAAUUCCCGGUGUAGUGGUGGAAUGCGUAGAUAUCAGGAAGAACACCAACGGCGAAGGCAGCUCGCUGGGACGGAACUGACGCUAAGGCGCGAAAGCGUGGGGAGCGAACAGG